CAGAACUUUGCAACUCAAAAAACUGAAACUGCUGAUGAUGGAAAUCAAGGAAGUUUUUGGAAGAAAAGUUAAGCAAUCUGAGGUUUUCCGGUUGUUGAUACAAAAGAAGAGAAGGAAAAAGAUGGUUUCGAUGUUGAUUUGGAGAAUCGGUUUGAGCGGAUUUGGAAUGUAUUGGAUUCUUUGUCAUGUUGUUCACUUCAAUUCCAGAAGUAAGAGUGUGAAUAUGGAACGAUUGAUGAUGAUAUUAGGGAUGUCGAUAAAAGCAAUUGUAGAUCCAUUGAACAACUCUGAAGAUCACAGGAUUCUUCCUCACUUAAUGUUACUUGCUAUGAGUGUCAAGAAGAAUGUUUGGCGGUUUUGCUAAACAGAUGGCGAAAAGAGUUAUCAAGGUAAUUAACAAACUCUAUGAAUUGGAAGAUCGGGAUGGGGAACGAGAUCAACAAGCUUUACAUUCAAAUGCAAUAAGUAGGCGUACACAAAUGACCUUCGGUAUGAGAGGACUUGAAAAUGCACUUAUUGAAGACUGAGGAUGCAUUCAAAUACAAGUCUCGGAGAAGAUGGAAAUAAGGGGAGGCCAGGGAAACACUCCAACUCAACCUGUGCAACAAGAUGAGUUUGCUUGCAUUAUAGGCCGUCUUCGUGUGAAAGUAGCUGCUUACCACAAGCUAUAUUUUGUGGGAUCAAUAUUGGACACAGUAACACAGCUGCUGUAAAAGCACUUGCGUGGUCCUCACAUUUACAUGGACUUCUUGCAUCCGGUGGUGGUACUGCAGACAGAUGCAUUCAUUUUUGGAAUACAACCACAAAAUCACACCUCAGUUUCAUGGCCACUGGGAGUCAGCUAUUUGUUUGGAAUCAAGAUUUGACACAAGCAGUGUUGAAAUACUAUGAGCACACAGCUGCUGUAAAAGCAACUGCAUGGUCCCCACAUUUACAUGGACUUCUUGCAUCCGGUGGUGGUACUGCAGACAUAUACAUUCAUUUUGGAAUACAACCACAAAUUCACACCUCAGUUGCAUGGGCACUUGGAGUCAGGUUUGCAAUCUUUGUGGUCUAAAAAUGUUAACGAACUAGUCAGCACCCAUGGCUAACCAGAUUAUUGUUCGGAGAUACAGAUAUUCUACAAUGUCAAAGACAGUUGUUACAGGAGCAGGUGAUGAAACACUUCGGACCGGUGUUGGAAUAUAUUUCCUUCUCCAAAAUCUCAAUUAGGGUAAAGAAAAAAAAGAUGGUUUCUCCACUGAUUUGGAUAAUUGGUAUUGGUCGGAAAUGAUGGUCACUCUCAUAUCAUACAGGCAAAAGGGGCAGAUUGAGUCUGUGACAGGUCGUCGUGUGGUCAUCUAUAUUGCCUUAGGCAUAUGUUUAAGGUGCAAGAUUCUUAAAGACUUAAUAUAUAUCCUAGUGGUUUUUCAUAAAUCACCUUCGGUAUGGGAGGUCUAGGAAAUGCUGUUAUCAAAGAUGAGGAUACAUUCAAAUGCAAGUUUCCGUUUACGGAAAGGUUAUGGCUCCUAGAGGUUGCUAAUGGUCCAUAUGAGAAUGAGUUGCUGGCCCAAGCCAUUCAAGAAAUGAUGGCCAGUUUGCACAAGGCCAGGGAAACAGUCCAACUCAACCUGAACAACAAGAUGAGUUUGCUUGCACCGAAGGUCGUCUUCAUGUGAAGGUAGCCAUUUACCACAAAGUGCGGGUAAUGACGGCCACUAGGAUAUGGCUCGUAGAGGUUUCUAAUGGUGCUGAUGGGACUAAGUUGCUGGCUCAAGCCAUUGGGGAAAUGAGUGCCAGUUUGUGCAUAGCCAGGGAAACACUCCAACUCAACCUGUGCAACAAGAUGAGUUUGCUUGCGUUAUAGGCCGUCUUCCAGUGAAAGUAGCUGUUUACCAGAAGGUGUGGGUAAUGACUAGAGUGUACUGGAAUUGGGUGAAUGUGAACAAUGGGGUUACAAGGUCUUAAACACAAUUACAGUGUUGGGAUGUUAAGCGACAAAUGGGUGAAUGCUUUGUGCGUUGAACUUCACCUAGUUAGGCUGCCUGUGUGAAUGCUUAAACUGGUUUAGAGUGAUGUGACGCUGAUGCUGUCCCCUUCCCCUAAAAAGUGAUGAGGCCAUUUUAUAACUGGGCUAACAAAUGUGACAAUGGAAGUUCGGCUGAUUUAGUUAAGCCCACGACAGGUACUUGCUAUAGAACUUGAUGCACGUUGGUAUGGUUUGGUUGUGAAAGACUAGUUAUCUAGUUCAGCUGUUUAAAUAUCACCAUCGGAUACUAGUGUUUUUGAUUGUGGUUGCCAGAGGGUAGUUUGUUCAAAUUAUAUGCUUCCGUCGAUUAGUAAGUAGUGCCAAGGCGAAGCCACAAGAAGGUUACAUGAAAGCAGCGGCCAAAACUAGCUCCAUUUUGUGUUCCCUUUGCUCGCCAGAGGAAAUUUCUAGGAAACUCAUCCCCUAAAGUUACAGCGACGGGUUAGAAGAGAUGGUAGGGUUACAGGACAUUUAACUAUGGAAUCAACAAACGACACAUCGUACAUACGCAAUUUGUCAUCAAACAAUACAUUAUUACAUGGGCAGGCCGGUGGUGGCGACUUGAGAAAUGCGCAAAAUUGGAUGACGAUACAAAAAUAGAGCCAUUAACACCCUUCUCUCAAGACAAGAAAGAAAAUAGACAAAUUGCUAGAGACCUCUAGCGUAAAGCCAAAUUGCGGGAUUGGGACAUUUCCAGCACCUGUUCAUCUUUUUUUCCUAAAUUCAAAUACAAAUAAUCAGAUGAACAGCAGCAAAAAAAGUUAAAAACCCAGCAGAAGUUGCGGCAUAUCAUGAGUGGCAGGCUCACAAGAGUCCACAUGAACAUAUAUAGUUCAAUAUAA